AAGUCGUAACAAGGUUUCCGUAGGUGAACCUGCGGAAGGAUCAUUAUCGUACCAUGGGUGUACGACGGCUGUCGCUGACUCUCUAGUAGUCGUGCACGCCCGAGUGCUCUCACAAUACAAAUAUCCAUCUCACCCCUUUGUGCAUCACCGCGUGGGUCCCCUUCCUCGGAGGGGGGUGCUCACGUUUUUAAACAUUAAACACCCAUCGUAGAAUGUUCUUUGCGCGAUGACGCGCGAUCAAUACAACUUUCAACAACGGAUCUCUUGGCUCUCGCAUCGAUGAAGAACGCAGCGAAAUGCGAUACGUAAUGUGAAUUGCAGAAUUCAGUGAAUCAUCGAAUCUUUGAACGCACCUUGCGCCCCUUGGCAUUCCGAGGGGCACACCCGUUUGAGUGUCGUGAACAUCCUCAACCUCCUUGGUUUUCAUCGAACCAAGUAGGAUUGGAAUUUGGAGGUUUUCUGCUGGCCUCCUCUGAAGCCAGCUCCUCUUAAAUGUAUCAGUGGGAUCCGCUUUGCUUAGAUCCUCGACGUUGAUAAGAUGUUUCUACGUCUUGGGUUUUUCUCGCAAAGGACCUGCUUCUAACCGUCCCCAUCGGGGACAACCUUUGAGCCGAUCACCCUUCACGGGGUGGGAAGCUUUUUGAC
rnacentral:rRNA from 1 species